rnacentral:rRNA from 1 species
AUUGAACGCUGGCGGCAUGCCUUACACAUGCAAGUCGAACGGUAACAGGUCUUCGGAUGCUGACGAGUGGCGAACGGGUGAGUAAUACAUCGGAACGUGCCCGAUCGUGGGGGAUAACGGAGCGAAAGCUUUGCUAAUACCGCAUACGAUCUACGGAUGAAAGCAGGGGACCGCAAGGCCUUGCGCGGACGGAGCGGCCGAUGGCAGAUUAGGUAGUGGGUGGGAUAAAAGCUUACCAAGCCGACGAUCUGUAGCUGGUCUGAGAGGACGACCAGCCACACUGGGACUGAGACACGGCCCAGACUCCUACGGGAGGCAGCAAUGGGGAAUUUUGGACAAUGGGCGAAAGCCUGAUCCAGCCAUGCCGCGUGCAGGAUGAAGGCCUUCGGGUUGUAAACUGCUUUUGUACGGAACGAAAAGCCUCUUUCUAAUAAAGAGAGGUCAUGACGGUACCGUAAGAAUAAGCACCGGCUAACUACGUGCCAGCCGCCGCCGUAAGAC